rnacentral:rRNA from 1 species
CCUACGGGAGGCAGCAGUGAGGAAUAUUGGUCAAUGGGCGGAAGCCUGAACCAGCCAAGUCGCGUGAGGGAAUAAGGCCCUACGGGUCGUAAACCUCUUUUGCCGGGGAGCAAGGGCAGGGACGCGUCCCGGCCCGGAGAGUACCCGGAGAAAAAGCAUCGGCUAACUCCGUGCCAGCAGCCGCGUUAAUACGGAGGAUGCGAGCGUUAUCCGGAUUUUUUUGGUUGAAAGGGUGCGUAGGCGGGCUUUUAAGUCAGGGGUAAAAAUUCUGGGCUCACCCAUGAGAGUGCGGCGCGAACUGGAGACCUUGAGUGCGCGGAAGGCAGGCGGAAUUCGUGGUGUAGCGGUGAAAUGCUUAGAUAUCACGAAGAACCCCGAUUGCGAAGGCAGCCUGCCGCAGCGUUACUGACGCUGAAGCUCGAAAGCGCGGGUAUCGAACAGGAUUAGAUACCCCGGUAGUC